GUAGCGGCUGUCUGCAUCUCUCUACGGGACACGUGCUGUGCUAGGCUCUUCACAUGCAAAUUGGAAAUGAGGCUGAGAGAGAGGAAGUGUUUGUCCCAGGUCAACAGCGACUGAGAGGCAGAGCUGGGACCACACACAGUUCCUGUCCCGUCAGCCUUUCUGUUCCCACAGAGAUGGCGACACUGGCGCCCAGAGAAGCGACUGGCCCGAAUCCUCGCAGCUGGGAAGGGGCAGGGCCAGGAACACGAAGACUCCUGGGGACUAGCAGCCUCGCCCGUGAACCGGGGGAGGAGGGGUCACGGUCACUGAUCUUCGCCAGCGCUGUCGGGCGAGCCGGAAGCUGUCGUCCCCAAGGUUCAGAGACUUCUCGCAGUCAUCUUACCAUGCUUAUUGCAUGUCAGUUCCUAGAUUUACUCUGUUCAAGAGUCAAUAAACCCCCCUGACCACCUGCUA